AUUGAACGCUGGCGGCAGGCCUAACACAUGCAAGUCGAGCGAGCGGCGGUCGGGUGAGUAAUGUCUGGGAAACUGCCUGAUGGAGGGGGAUCACUACUGUAAACGGUAGCUAAUACCCCAUACCAUCAGAUGUGCCCACAUGGGAUUAGCUAGUAGGUGGGGUACUGGCUAACCUAGGCGACGAUCCCUAGCUGGUCUGUGAGGAUGACCAGCAACACUGGAACGGAGACACGGACCAGACGGUUACGGAAGGGAGAAGUGGGGAAUAUUGCACAAUGGGCGCAAGCCGGAUGCAGCAAGGCCGCGUGUGUGAAGAAGGACGUCGGGUUGUAAAGCACUUUCAGCGGGGAGGAGUUACCCGCAGAAGAAGCACCGGCUAACUCCGUGCCAGCAGACACGGUAAUAC
rnacentral:rRNA from 1 species